GAUGAACGCUGGCGGCGUGCCUAAUACAUGCAAGUCGAGCGAACAGACGAGGAGCUUGCUCCUCUGACGUUAGCGGCGGACGGGUGAGUAACACGUGGAUAACCUACCUAUAAGACUGGGAUAACUUCGGGAAACCGGAGCUAAUACCGGAUAAUAUAUUGAACCGCAUGGUUCAAUAGUGAAAGACGGUUUUGCUGUCACUUAUAGAUGGAUCCGCGCCGCAUUAGCUAGUUGGUAAGGUAACGGCUUACCAAGGCAACGAUGCGUAGCCGACCUGAGAGGGUGAUCGGCCACACUGGAACUGAGACACGGUCCAGACUCCUACGGGAGGCAGCAGUAGGGAAUCUUCCGCAAUGGACGAAAGCCUGACGGAGCAACGCCGCGUGAGUGAUGAAGGUCUUCGGAUCGUAAAACUCUGUUAUUAGGGAAGAACAAAUGCGUAAGUAACUAUGCACGUCUUGACGGUACCUAAUCAGAAAGCCACGGCUAACUACGUG
rnacentral:rRNA from 1 species